rnacentral:rRNA from 1 species
GCUCCUCUGAUUUAGCGGCGGACGGGCUGAGUAACACGUGGGUAAUCUGCCUGUAAGACGGGGAUAACUCCGGGAAACCGGGGCUAAUACCGGAUAACAAGAGAAGAAGCAUUUCUUCUUUUUGAAAGUCGGUUUCGGCUGACACUUACAGAUGAGCCCGCGGCGCAUUAGCUAGUUGGUGAGGUAACGGCUCACCAAGGCGACGAUGCGUAGCCGACCUGAGAGGGUGAUCGGCCACACUGGGACUGAGACACGGCCCAGACUCCUACGGGAGGCAGCAGUAGGGAAUCUUCGGCAAUGGGCGAAAGCCUGACCGAGCAACGCCGCGUGAGCGAUGAAGGCCUUCGGGUCGUAAAGCUCUGUUGUUAGAGAAGAACAAGUACGAGAGUAACUGCUCGUACCUUGACGGUACCUAACCAGAAAGCCACGGCUAACUACGUGCCAGCAGCCGCGGUAAUACGUAGGUGGCAAGCGUUAUCCGGAAUUAUUGGGCGUAAAGCGCGCGCAGGCGGUCUCUUAAGUCUGAUGUGAAAGCCCACGGCUCAACCGUGGAGGGUCAUUGGAAACUGGGAGACUUGAGUGCAGGAGAGAAAAGUGGAAUUCCACGUGUAGCGGUGAAAUGCGUAGAGAUGUGGAGGAACACCAGUGGCGAAGGCGGCUUUUUGGCCUGUAACUGACGCUGAGGCGCGAAAGCGUGGGGG